GACAGAGGAGCCAAGCGUUAUCCGGAUUCACUGGGUUUAAAGGGUGCGUAGGUGGAGUGGUAAGUCAGUGGUGAAAUCUCCAAGCUUAACUUGGAAACUGCCGUUGAUACUAUCAUUCUUGAAUAUCGUGGAGGUAAGCGGAAUAUGUCAUGUAGCGGUGAAAUGCUUAGAUAUGACAUAGAACACCGAUUGCGAAGGCAGCUUGCUACACGAUCAUUGACACUGAGGCACGAAAGCGUGGGGAUCAAACAGG
rnacentral:rRNA from 1 species